GCCCUUUGUGGCACAGUGGAUCAGCGCGUCUGGCUGUUAACCAGAAGGCUGGUGGUUUGAGGCUGUGGGCA